rnacentral:rRNA from 1 species
UACGAAGGGGGCUAGCGUUGUUCGGAAUUACUGGGCGUAAAGCGCACGUAGGCGGAUUUGUAAGUCAGGGGUGAAAUCCCGGGGCUCAACCUCGGAACUGCCUUUGAUACUGCAAGUCUCGAGUCCGAUAGAGGUGAGUGGAAUUCCUAGUGUAGAGGUGAAAUUCGUAGAUAUUAGGAAGAACACCAAUGGCGAAGGCAGCCCUCUGGGACGGUACUGACGCUGAGACGCGAAAGCGUGGGGAGCGAACAGG